CCUACGGGAGGCAGCAGUGGGGAAUAUUGCACAAUGGGGGAAACCCUGAUGCAGCGACGCCGCGUGAGUGAAGAAGUAUUUCGGUACGUAAAGCUCUAUCAGCAGGGAAGAAAAUGACGGUACCUGACUAAGAAGCCCCGGAUAACUACGUGCCAGCAGCCGCGGUAAUACGUAGGGGGCAAGCGUUAUCCGGAUUUACUGGGUGUAAAGGGAGCGUAGACGGCAGCGCAAGUCUGGAGUGAAAUCCCAUGGCUUAACCAUGGAACUGCUUUGGAAACUGUGCAGCUAGAGUGCAGGAGAGGUAAGCGGAAUUCCUAGUGUAGCGGGGAAAUGCGUAGAUAUUAGGAGGAACACCAGUGGCGAAGGCGGCUUACUGGACUGUAACUGACGUUGAGGCUCGAAAGCGUGGGGAGCAAACAGGAUUAGAUACCCUGGUAGUC
rnacentral:rRNA from 1 species